ACUCAGUCCAUUAAACCUCUUUUUCUUUAGUAUUUCUUUAUUUCUUGGGUAUUUCCUUAUUAGCAGCAUGAGAAGGAAAUAAUAUACCCAGAUUAAUCAUUUUGGUAUAUAUAUGAAAUAUCAAACUAUCACUAUUUUACUAAUUGUACGAAAUCAAAACAUUAUGUUGUACAUCUUAAAUUCAUACCAUAAAAAAAAAAAUAGGUCUCUUUAAGGACCAUGAAACUUGUUUACUAGUUAACUCCAUCCAACUCUUCAUCUACUUAGCCCAUGAAUUCCAGCAUUUGGCCACAGCCUGCUCACACUUUUAAAUCUCCUAUUGUCCUCUUGCUGUGGCAUGUAGUACUGGCCAUGAGCUUAACUGUCAAGCUUGCCUCAAAUGCACUUCCAAACACAGACCCUAAUCCAGCCCCUCCUGUUGUUUAACCUUUUGUAGUGGCCAACAGAGGACAUGCAGGGUGUUCCAACACUCUGUCUCAGUUCUUGAUACUCUUUCAUAUUUGGUUUCCCUUCCAGAAAAGAUUAACUUUAUAGAGGCACAGUGUGACACUUGGACUGGAACCUGGAUAUUGACGUCCAGCUGAUUAAGAAGAGAAAUGAGAUUUUUGUGUUUAAGCAAUCAUUGCUAUUAUGUUUCCUUCAGAAAUCAACUCUCUUAAAUUCAGAGCCCCUAAAGCAAUAUAAAAUGACUUCGGUUUGUCUACUCAUGUCAAAGUAUCUAUUAUGUUCAAGAGAAGAUACCAGGCACCAUGUGAAGAAAAAAAAAAAAAAAAAAAAAAAAACCAGAAAACCAGAUCUCAGUCUUCAAAGGAUGAUUAUGUUACAGCGUAACAAAGCUCAGAAGUAGCUUGCCAAAGAAGGCGCUAACCUCUGAUUUUCUAAGGAUCAAUUACAUUCUGGUUUUGAGCACAGAGAUUUCAAGCAUUGGAGUGCCAAUGACUUAAGCCACAAAAAAAGUCCUUCAAGUACCACUGGUACAUAAUCAUCUUUGUGAUGGUUUUUGAAUUUCACUUUAAUCAAAUCCAGUAAGAUGUUCCAAAUAUCAUUUAUCCUUUAACAAUCAACUCUCAAUCUCUAAAUCCUGGCUUUUACUUUAAUCACUUAUAAAAAUUCUAUUAUCCAAGUGCUGAUUAUGGUCUGUCUUGCUGUGCACCAAGCAGCAGAAUCACUAAGCCCACAGGCUGCUCUAACUCGCACGUCACCCCUCUUGAAUUAGACCCAGGAAGAGAAGUAUCUGUGAGCAGAGGUCUCUGAGCCAGACUGCCUGUAAGUCUGGGAUGUGCUUUGGCAAGUUACUUAGCCUCUUCAAGACUCAGUUUGUUCAUCUGUAAAAUGGGUCAUGAUGGUAGUAGUAUCUACUUCAUAUGGGGUUUGGAGCAGUUAGAUGAGAUGAGUAUAAAAGCAUUAGAAUAGUUCUUGACCUUAGUAACUCAGUCAUUGUUGUUAUUUAAAAAAGUUCUUAAGACUAACAUUGUUCUUUAUUUUCUUCAUUUCUUUGGCCCUUCACAACAAAUAUAGAGCACAUAUUUAGACCCUAGAAAAGGGUUCACCGUGCUCUGUGAUGAAAUCUCAGUAGUUCACUACCACUUAGCUGGAAUUCUUAAGCAGUCGCUGCCUGCUCAGCACUGAAUUGUGAGAAACUGGUGAUGGGGGUGGCUCAGUAGAAACAACAUCUGAUAAUUUAUCUCAAGGAGAUUUAAAGGUAGUUAGACACAUAUCAGAUCCUCUUUUCAGACAUUUCUUUUAUGUAUUUAUUCUUAAUUGAAAAUAAUAAUUUUAAUCUGUGGUCUCAUUUAAAUGGGGAAGCAAUUGGACAAAUCUGAAUGUAUAAUCUUAUUUUGCCAAUGGCUAGCUGGUACUAUAAAGUUAUUUUUAACUUUUGGGGCCUCAGUUUCUUUAUAUUAAAACAUGGGGUAGCUCCUGCUUACAGCCUAUUGUGGUGGGGAUGCAAGGAGGCAGAACAGAAGUUUCUUUACUCUGCCUUUGCAGCACAGGCUAUAAGGUAAAGAAGAGUGAGUGAAUCUGAAAUCCUCCAGGGUUUUCAUUUCCCUUCCCUUUCACCCUUAAACCACUCUUAAGCCACUCUCUGCUCUGCUGGCUCAUGUCAUUAUUCAUGUUUCAUAUUUAGUGCCUACUCAAGCCUAUUACUGGUGACAAUUUGUUGAUAAGAACUUCUACCCAAAGGAGCAGGAGGAUGACAUAAGCCAGCAAAGCAGAGAGUGGUUUAAGGGUACAGUCCUCUAGGCCAGGGUGUCAUCUCCUGGAGCCACAGACUACAUGACUCCCAGAGGGUGGAUGGAUAUGUGUCCCUGCAUCCCCUCCCUGACACAGAAGUGUGGGAGCUGAGGGGACUGUGCAAAGCCCUGCAGAAGAUAUCCCAUUUGUAUUUUUCUGACAAGCUAACCCCUAUUCUGGGUGGAUUUUAGGAAGCCAGCUGCACACUGCUGGCAAAGAUGAGGUGGAGUCCCGAGGACAGAUCUCUGUUGCAGGGCAUCUAAGAGGGGGAAGUGUAGGUAGGUGGCUGGGAUUCUCUUCUGCUUCCUGGUUUCCUGUCUGUAUUAUUUCAUCCACUCUCAUUCCAGGUGAGAACAGAAAAGCCAGAGCAGAAAGAAAAAACAUCCUGAAACACUGGGAAUAUUCACCCAUACAUGCCCACCUUUAUUAAGUAGCAUCUACUAUAUGCAUGGCACUGUACUCACAAAGAUGAGUAAGGCACAAGACAAGUCCUCAAGGAAAUUAUAGUCUAAUGGAAGAAACAGACACACAUAGGAAACAAUGUGUGGACUGCGAUAGAGACCUGCUUAGGCAUUAUGGGAGGACUUAGUGAAGGCACAUACUCGAACCUAGAAUUGAGCAGGAGGGGGUGGGGAGACGGAAGUUAAGCUGUCAUUAAGCAGUAACACAAGAAGUAAGUUUCAUGUGAUUGCAGGGGACAGAGGAAAGCAUCCAGGAAGAAGAGGCAGUGUAAAUGGAGGCACACGGCAACAUCCUGUGAGAGGUUACCGGCACUCCGUGUGGCUGGAAGGAGAAGAUACAGGCUGCUCUAUCUGCACAGAGCCAGAUAAAGGGACAGGAAGGAAAACAAGCACUGAGAUGGCAUAGACUCUUGGCUGAACAGAAGGAGAUUGCUUCAUGUAGUUCAUGUGGCCUGGAGGGAGGCAUGUGGUCUUCUUGGGCUACUGUCUGGUCUGAGUCACAAAGUCACUUAUCUCUACCUAUUCAUGUUGUUUCACGUGAGGGGAAUGGCUUGGACACAAGAGAUCUAGGAAGCUUCAUUUGGGGACCAUGGAGCCUGGUGCAGAGUUGGGUGCCUGUUCUGAUCUCCAUAGAUCUCCACGUCCUUCUUAUCCAAGAGAUGCCUCACUGUCACCUCCUGACACCAACAGCUGGAAUUCUGUGAUGAAGUACCCUAAUGAAAAAGCCAUUAAUAUUUGUACAAAGUGCUCCUGGUCUCCUCUGCCUAUGCACUUAGGUUAAUAGUAUGCUGGAAGGUCUCUAGAAAGGACAGAGGCUCCUGGUUAAAGAGCUAAAUAGUCACAUCCCUGAUAAGCCUGACCAUGGACAAAGAUGGGCUGGCCCUUAAGUCAGGGCCCACUACUUCGGGGAGCAGAAUCCCAUGAAAAGGCUGCCUUUUAAAGGAGAGGACUAACUAGACAAGAGUAGGGAGAGAAAAGGGGCUGGCCUAAGAAUUAGGCAGGAGAGAGUGUGCAGUAAAGCAGAUCUUUGAGCACACUUAAUGGAGUGUAGCUUCCAACAGAGCUAAGAUCCAUCCUCUGUUGAGAUUUCAGGAAAAGGCUUGGGGACACACAUAACAAAACUUAAUGCCACAAAGACAGAAAGGAACACAUGCUCAAUAUAAGAAAGCCUGAGAAACAAAAACUCAGCUUCCCUGAAGUGUGGCAUUUUCAAAGCCCACACAUCAUAACAACUUUGAAUUCUGAGACGCCUCAACAGGAAACCUCAGAGGUUCCAUCUGUCUCCCUGAUGAGAAGGACAGCUGAGGUACCAAGCUGCCGUCUAGAAGAGGGCUGGCAAAAAUCUCAGGAACCUUGGCCCAGGAGCUAGAAAUGUGUGGUUCAUUCUUUCCUCCAGUCUAAUUUACAGCCCUGACACUAGCUGUUGGCUGGUUACCAGGUCUGUCUCCAUAUAUAACUAGAAAUAAACCAACACAAAAGUUGGUUCACCUCUCAAUUUUAUGUGUACUCCUAAA